rnacentral:lncRNA from 1 species
AUGGAGUCGGAGGAAGAAAUGUCCCACGGCUAUUUGGAUACUCGCAUGAAGAAUACCACGGGAGGUACCCCCCCAGUCCAUUUGGCCCAGAGUUGUUUCCAGGUGGAAACCUUCGGACACACCUUCACCCUGGACCUGGAGUUAAACCACAACCUCCUGUCCUCAGACUACGUGGAGCGGCACUUCCACCAAGACGGCAAACCCUCGCAGUCUAUGGUAGUGUGUGUGUGUGUGUGUGUGUUUGAGUGUGUGUAUGUUAUAAUUAGGGCCCUGUGUUUUGCACAAUCAUUUGAUAUGCCUGGAUUUAAACCGUUGUUUAAAGCUUUUUC